UUGGAGGGCAAGUCUGGUGCCAGCAGCCGCGGUAAUUCCAGCUCCAAUAGCGUAUAUUAAAGUUGUUGCAGUUAAAAAGCUCGUAGUUGAAUUUCGGGAUCAGAGUGUCGGUCGUGCCUCGGUACGUACUGGUAUUAUUGGUUCCUACCUUCUGAAGAACCGCGAUGUCAUUAAUUUGGUGGCGUGGGGAAUCAGGACUGUUACCUUGAAAAAAUUAGAGUGUUUAAAGCAGGCAUUUUUGCUCGAAUACAUUAGCAUGGAAUAGUAGAAUAGGACGGCAUGGUUCUAUUUUGUUGGUUUCUAGGAUCACCGUAAUGAUUAAUAGGGAUAGUUGGGGGCAUUAGUAUUCAAUUGUCAGAGGUGAAAUUCUUGGAUUUAUUGAAGACUAACUACUGCGAAAGCAUUUGCCAAGGAUGUUUUCAUUAAUCAAGAACGAAAGUUAGGGGAUCGAAGACGAUCAGAUACCGUCGUAGUCUUAACCAUAAACUAUGCCGACUAGGAAUCAGACGAUGUUAAUUUUUUAAUGACUCGUUCGGCGCCUUACGGGAAAC
rnacentral:rRNA from 1 species